AAUGAACGUUGGCGGCGUGGAUUAGGCAUGCAAGUCGUGCGGAAAGGCCCCGCAAGGGGCACUCGAGCGGCGAAAGGGAUAGUAACACGUGGAUUACCUACCUCCAGGACGGGGAUAGCUGCGGGAAACUGCAAUUAAUACCCGAUGACGUCUUCGGACCAAAGGUGUGAUUCCGCCUGGAGACGGGUCCGCGUCCUAUUAGCUAGUUGGCAGGGUAACGGCCUACCAAGGCUCAGAUGGGUAGCGGGUGUGAGAGCACGACCCGCAUCACUGGGACGGAGACACUGCCCAGACACCUACGGGUGGCUGCAGUCGAGGAUCUUCGGCAAUGGGCGAAAGCCUGACCGAGCGACGCCGCGUGCGGGAUGAAGGCCUUCGGGUUGUAAACCGCUGUCAGUGGGGAGGAAAUACUGGUGGGAACACCCUCCAGUUUGACCUAUCCGCAGAGGAAGGACGGGCUAAGUUCGUGCCAGCCGCCGCCGUAAUAC
rnacentral:rRNA from 1 species